rnacentral:rRNA from 1 species
AGAUUGAACGCUGGCGGCAGGCCUAACACAUGCAAGUCGAGCGGCAGCACGGGUACUUGUACCUGGUGGCGAGCGGCGGACGGGUGAGUAAUGCCUAGGAAUCUGCCUGAUAGUGGGGGAUAACGCUCGGAAACGGACGCUAAUACCGCAUACGUCCUACGGGAGAAAGCAGGGGACCUUCGGGCCUUGCGCUAUCAGAUGAGCCUAGGUCGGAUUAGCUAGUUGGUGGGGUAAUGGCUCACCAAGGCGACGAUCCGUAACUGGUCUGAGAGGAUGAUCAGUCACACUGGAACUGAGACACGGUCCAGACUCCUACGGGAGGCAGCAGUGGGAAUAUUGGACAAUGGGCGAAAGCCUGAUCCAGCCAUGCCGCGUGUGUGAAGAAGGUCUUCGGAUUGUAAAGCACUUUAAGUGGAGGAAGGCAGUUACCUAAUACGUAUCUGUUUUGACGUUACCGACAGAAUAAGCAACCGGCUAAACUCUGUG